CCUACGGGUGGCAGCAGUGAGGAAUAUUGGUCAAUGGGCGCGAGCCUGAACCAGCCAAGUCGCGUGAGGGAGGACGGCCCUACGGGUUGUCAACCUCUUUUGCCGGGGAGCAACGGGCGUCACGUGUGGCGCCACUGGGAGUACCCGGAGAAAAAGCAUCGGCUAACUCCGUGCCAGCAGCCGCGGUAAUACGGAGGAUGCGAGCGUUAUCCGGAUUUAUUGGGUUAAAAGGGUGCGUGGGCGAAUCGUUAAGUCAGGGGUCAAAUUGCGGGGCUCAAACCCUCCCCGCCAUUGAAACUGGCGUUCUUGAGUGGAAGAGAAGUAUGCGGAAUGCGUGGUGUAGCGGUGAAAUGAAUAGAUAUCACGCAGAACCCCGAUUGCGAAGGCAGCAUGCCGGCUUCCGACUGACGCUGAAGCACGAAAGCGUGGGGAUCGAACAGGAUUAGAUACCCCAGUAGUC
rnacentral:rRNA from 1 species